UACGUAGGGGGCAAGCGUUGUCCGGAAUCAUUGGGCGUAAAGAGCUCGUAGGCGGCGCGGUAAGUCGGGUGUGAAAUCUCGGGGCUUAACUCCGAAACUGCAUUCGAUACUGCCGUGCUUGAGGACUGGAGAGGAGACUGGAAUUUACGGUGUAGCGGUGAAAUGCGUAGAUAUCGUAAGGAAGACCAGUGGCGAAGGCGGGUCUCUGGACAGUUCCUGACGCUGAGGCACGAAGGCCAGGGGAGCAAACGGG
rnacentral:rRNA from 1 species